CAUUCAACCUCCCCAGAGGCUGAGAUCCUCAUCCGAACACAGAAAUAGCCUCCACCUGCUGGAGGGGGUGGGGGGAUCUGAUUUUACAUGAGAAAACGUAUAUAAAACACCUGCGUGCACCUAGACCCACAAGCCCUCAGGUGGUAGCAGCAACAGAGAUAAUAGUUAAGAGAGAGCUUCACAAGGUUUUCUUGAAGGACAAGCAAUCAGCAGGGCUGAGACAGGACCUAUAAACGAUGCCAUGGAGAUGAGAGAUGCCCAGCAAAGAACACAGCAGAAUCUGCAUCUCGCAGGCUGCGGUCAAAUAUCUGGACACAAACAGAUUCUAGUGCAUCUGAUGUCAAGAACAAGCAUUAACUAAGAGUAAAAGCAAGUAAGAAAACAUAAAACUUGCAGAAUCCACAUGGCCCAGGAGGGCCCUACUCCGGUUUGCAGGCCCGAUGUUCAACAGCAGCAGUAACGAAGGAAAGAGGAAUCCUUAAAGAUGUGAAUCAGAAUGAGAAGAGGAAGUGAAGAAAGCAAUCAACGAUGGAAAAACUGUAUAUACUGUUCGGACCAACCUCUCAGACUUUUCAUAAGCCUAAUUUUCAAAC